UCCUAGUUAGCUCAGUUGAUAGAGCGCUCCACCUGUAAUGGAAAGAUCCCGGGUUCGAUACCCGGACCAGGCG
rnacentral:tRNA from 1 species